CACGUAGGGUGCAAGCGUUGUCCGGAAUUAUUGGGCGUAAAGGGCUCGUAGGCGGUCCGUCACGUCGGGAGUGAAAACUCGGGGCUCAACCCCGAGCCUGCUUCCGAUACGGGCGGACUAGAGGUAGGUAGGGGAGAACGGAAUUCCUGGUGUAGCGGUGGAAUGCGCAGAUAUCAGGAGGAACACCGGUGGCGAAGGCGGAUCUCUGGGCCAUUACUGACGCUGAGGAGCGAAAGCGUGGAGAGCGAACAGG
rnacentral:rRNA from 1 species